GAUGAACGCUGGCGGCGUGCCUAAUACAUGCCAGUCGAGCGAACAGACGAGGAGCUUGCUCCUCUGACGUUAGCGGCGGACGGGUGAGUAACACGUGGAUAACCUACCUAUAAGACUGGGCUAACUUCGGGAAACCGGAGCUAAUACCGGAUAAUAUAUUGAACCGCAUGGUUCAAUAGUGAAAGACGGUUUUGCUGUCACUUAUAGAUGGAUCCGCGCCGCAUUAGCUAGUUGGUAAGGUAACGGCUUACCAAGGCAACGAUGCGUAGCCGACCUGAGAGGGUGAUCGGCCACACUGGAACUGAGACACGGUCCAAACUCCUACGGGAGGCAGCAGUAGGGAAUCUUCCGCAAUGGGCGAAAGCCUGACGGAGCAACGCCGCGUGAGUGAUGAAGGUCUUCGGAUCGUAAAACUCUGUUAUUAGGGAAGAACAAAUGUGUAAGUAACUAUGCACGUCUUGACGGUACCUAAUCAGAAAGCCACGGCUAACUACGUG
rnacentral:rRNA from 1 species